GACGAACGCUGGCGGCGUGCCUAAUACAUGCAAGUCGAACGCAGUGGGGACGGGUGAGUAACACGUGGGUAACCUCCCAUCAGAGGGGAUAACACUUGGACACAGGUGCUAAUCCGAUACUGAUGGAUGGACCCGCGGUUCAUUAGCUAGUUGGUGAUGUAACGGCUCACCAAGGCCACGCUGCAUAGCCGACCUGCGAGGGGGAUCGGCCACAUUGAGACUGAGACACGGCCCAGACUCCUACGGUGGGCAGCAGUAGGGAAUCGUCGGCAAUGGACGAAAGUCUGACCGAGCCACGCCGCGUGAGUGAAGAAGGUUUUCGGAUCGUAAAACUCUGUUGUUAGAGAAGCGGUAUCUAACCAGAAAGCCACGGCUAACUACGUGCCAGCAGCCGCGGUAAUUC
rnacentral:rRNA from 1 species